UGUAAGGAAGUUGGAGAAUAAUUGUAAUUCCUUCCUGUCUGAAAUCCACUUCUGAGAGACUUAUUGUAACUCUUGCCCUCAACUUCUUGUUAUGACAUGUGUGAGGCUGAAGGGAGAGGAAAAUUGUAAAUCUUGCCCCUCAACUUCUUUUUGUUAUGUUACGAGGUCCAAAAACUACUUCUGAGAGACUUAUCGUAACUCUUACCCUCGACUUCUUAUUGCGAGGUCUGAAAAUGACAUGUGGGAGGGGAAUCGUAAAUCAUGCUCCGACUUCUUUCUGUUACGUUACGAGGUCCAAAAACUACUACUGAGAGACUUAUCGUAACUCUUGCUCUCGACUUCUUAUUGCGAGGUCUGAAAAUGACGUGGGAGGGGAAUCGUAAAUCUUGCUCCGACUUCUUUCUGUUACGUUACGAGGUCCAAAAACUACUUCUGCGUGAGGCUUCGAGUAACACAGCCCACCACGUGCCAGGCAGGGAACACACGCUUGCCAAUUUCCUUUUAAGACGCCAACUUUCGCUUCUUUGCAACUAUUUUUGUCGUGUGAAUCCCGAGGGUCUGACAAUCCUGGAGACAGAGGAGGACCAGAUUCUUAAACAUCUCCAUUCAGUGCCCAGAAACCAUGUAAAACUAUCACUAGCAACUUCUACAAGAGUUUUUUCAGACAGGAACUGCGGCGCCGAGAUGUUUAAGAAUACUGUACUAGAGAACCACAGUAACACCUCUGUUUUGUGUAUUCUUAAACAUUUCCGGUCAGUCCCCAGAAGCCAUGUAAAACUAUCGCUAACAACUUCUACGAGAGGCUUUUCAGACAGGGGAACUGCGAUGCUGAGAUGUAUAAGAAUACUGUCUACUAGAGAACCACAGUAAUACCUCUGUUUUGCAUAUUCUUAAACAUCUCCAUUCAAUGCCCAGAAGCCAUGUAAAACUAUCACUAACAACUUCUACGAGAGGCUUUUCAGAUGGAAACUGCUGCGCCAUGAUGUUUAAAAAUACUGUCUACUAGAGUACCACAGUGAUACCUCUAUUUUGCAUAUUUUUAAACAUCUCCAUUCAGUGUGUAGAAGCCAUGUAAAACUAUCACUAACAACUUCUACAAGAGGCUUUUCAGAGAAGGGAACUGCAGCGCCGAGAUGUUUAAGAAUACUGGCUACUAGAGCACCAGAGUAAUGCCUUUGUUAGGGAUGAAGUACCGGCAUCUCGAGUGCUGCUAAAAUCUCCUCUUCUUCGCUGUGUCCGUCGGUUAGCGGCUGUGUUGCGAGGAGCCCCGCCCCGUGCAUAUCAGGCUUAGGGAAGGGACGUUCGGGAAGGGAGAGUUUCCGUGGAGGUUUGUUGUACAUAUUGUGCGUUACCACAUGAGUACAUUGUUGAUUGGACAAUAAAUUAUAGCCCAGCAAAA